GGUCCCAUAACUCAGUUGGUCAGAGUAUCGUACUAAUAAUAUAACUAAUCCAUUCAUGUUAUAACAUUGGUAAUGCGAAAGUCGUGAGUUCGAGCCUCACUGGGACCA